GUCGUCGUGGCCGACUGGUAAAGGCGACAGACUAGAAAUCUGUUGGGCUCUGCCCGCACAGGUUCGAAUCCUGUCGGCGACG
rfam:Ciona savignyi cont_29460, whole genome shotgun sequence.